rnacentral:rRNA from 1 species
GGGGGAUAUUGCACAAUGGGGGAAACCCUGAUGCAGCGACGCCGCGUGGAGGAAGAAGGUUUUCGGAUUGUAAACUCCUGUCGUUAGGGACGAUAAUGACGGUACCUAACAAGAAAGCACCGGCUAACUACGUGCCAGCAGCCGCGGUAAAACGUAGGGUGCAAGCGUUGUCCGGAAUUACUGGGUGUAAAGGGAGCGCAGGCGGACCGGCAAGUUGGAAGUGAAAACUAUGGGCUCAACCCAUAAAUUGCUUUCAAAACUGCUGGCCUUGAGUAGUGCAGAGGUAGGUGGAAUUCCCGGUGUAGCGGUGGAAUGCGUAGAUAUCGGGAGGAACACCAGUGGCGAAGGCGACCUACUGGGCACCAACUGACGCUGAGGCUCGAAAGCAUGGGUAGCAAACAGGAUUAGAUACCCUGGUAGUCCAUGCCGUAAACGAUGAUUACUAGGUGUUGGAGGAUUGACCCCUUCAGUGCCGCAGUUAACACAAUAAGUAAUCCACCUGGGGAGUACGACCGCAAGGUUGAAACUCAAAGGAAUUGACGGGGGCCCGCACAAGCAGUGGAGUAUGUGGUUUAAUUCGAAGCAACGCGAAGAACCUUACCAGGUCUUGACAUCCGAUGCAUAGCUUAGAGAUAAGUGAAGUCCUUCGGGACAUCGAGACAGGUGGUGCAUGGUUGUCGUCAGCUCGUGUCGUGAGAUGUUGGGUUAAGUCCCGCAACGAGCGCAACCCUUAUUGCCAGUUACUACGCAAGAGGACUCUGGCGAGACUGCCGUUGACAAAACGGAGGAAGGUGGGG